UUUCCGUAGGUGAACCUGCGGAAGGAUCAUUAACACGUGUAUCCACGUAUAAACCUUUGUGCACUCGUUCUGUUCUGGGGGCGCUUCUCGGUCCUCUGAAAGGAGGUCCAGUUGUGUCCCGUCACUGUGGUCUCCUUUUCGGAGGGGUGCCUGGCGACAAAACUUUAACGUCUUUAACAAAUUGUACUAAACUAUUGUGUACGGUGAAAGCCGUGUCACAUUUCUAUCUAAACAAUAGAACAACUCUUAGCAACGGAUAUCUUGGUUCUC
rnacentral:misc_RNA from 1 species